CGGGGCGUAGCUCAGUCUGGCAGAGCACCUGCUUUGGGAGCAGGAGGCCGCAGGUUCGAAUCCUGCCGCCCCGA
rnacentral:tRNA from 1 species